UGAUAUGCUUGUCUGCAGGGCUAAGCCAUGCACGUCUAAGUAGAAGCCCGCCUCCGGCGGGCGAGACCGCGAAUGGCUCCGUACAACAGUCCCAGUUUACUGGACGAUCGCCACCCUAUUUGGAUAACCGUGGUAAUUCUAGAGCUAAUACAUGCACCCGAGCUCCGACUAUGCGGGGCGUCCGGUGGGGCGGGGUCUCCGUUUCUUCUCUCUUCGCGAGGGGGCAGCGGGGGGUCCGUGUCGCCGGGCGCGUCGCGGGAGGAGCGCUCUUAUUAGCUCAAAGCCGGCCGGNGCUCAACCUCNCCGGUCGUUCGUUCCGUACGCGGGGCGGCGGCGGCGGGGCGGCCCCAACCAUCCGGCGAAUCGAAAGAAUCCGCAGAUCGGGCGGCGCCCAAGAAGCGUGCGCCCGACACGUGCUUUGAGCGUGUGCCUCAUCAGCUCUCGACGGUAGGUUAAACGCCUACCCUGGCGGCAACGGGUAACGGGGAAUCGGGGUUCGGUUCCGGAGAGGGAGCCUGAGAAACGGCUACCACAUCCAAGGAAGGCAGCAGGCGCGCAAUUUACCCCCUCCCGGCACGGGGAGGUAGUGACGAGUCGUACCGCCGCGGGCCCCCGCGCGGGGCCGCGUGGGCGGAAUGAGCACAAUUCAAGUCCUUUAGCGAGGACCCAUCGGAGGGCAAGUCUGGUGCCAGCAGCCGCGGGAACUCCAGCUCCGAUAGCGUAUGUUAACGCUGCUGCGGUUAAAGAGCUCGUCGCCGGAACUCGGCCUCGGAGGGGCGGUUCGCCGGAGGGCGACACUUCCCCGUUCCGGGCGCAGUGGCGCGUUCUCGGGGGGCGGGGUCAUGGGGCUCGUGCGGCGUCGGCGGUGUUCUAGCGCGUCGCGUCCGGGCGGCAGGCGCGUCCGGCCGAAGGCGGGGGCGGUAAGUUCNUCNUNGUUNUCNUGNNAAUCNUUGGUGGUNAUUUCCGGANCNNNCGGUUCUUCCUUCGUAAGGGGNUAANCGNNAAGGANNNNNNNNNNNNNNNNNNAGAAGGGGNCUCUUCCUNUUGUNNAGGGGCAAAGGGGGUUUCCUCCCCCUGUCGGCUCGUCCGGCCGUCUCGUCCGUCCGGCCGUCGGCUCAGCGGCCGCCGCCGCACGCGGGUUCGCUCUCCGCCGACAAGACCCCGGGAAAUCGGCGCCGGUUUCCUCGAGAAAAUCGGAGUGCUCAGAGCAGGCUUAUUGAGGCUCGCACGGUAGUGCAUGGAACAAGACCCCAACGGUCCCGGCUCGUCUUUGCCGUCGGCUUUCGGGGGCCGGGAACCAGGGUCGAUGGGGACGGCCGGGGGCAUUGGUACCGCGGCGUUAGAGGUGAAAUUCAGGGAUCGUCGCGUGACCGCCGACUGCGAAAGCAUUUGCCCAGGACGUUCCCGUCGGCCGAGAACGAAAGUCGGAGGCUCGAAGGCGAUCAGAUACCGCCCUAGUUCUAACCUUAAACGAUGCCGACCGGCGAUCCGCCGCAGGAGGCGCGCGAAAUGCGCCUCGGCGGGCAGCCCGCCCGGGAAACCCGAGUUUUCGGGCUCCGGGGGGAGUAUGGUCGCAAGGCCGAAACUUAAAGGAAUUGACGGAAGGGCACCACCAGGAGUGGAGCCUGCGGCCUAAUUUGACUCAACACGGGGAACCUCACCAGGUCCGGACCCCGGCAAGAUUGACAGGUUCACACGACACAGCCCUUUCUCGAUCCGGUGGGGGGUGGUGCAUGGCCGUUCGUGGUUCGUGGAGCGAUCCGUCUGGUUCAUUCCGGUAACGGGCGAGGCCCCGGCCAGUUAACUAGAGCGGGGCUCCCCGCACAGGGCGCCCGUCGCAGGGGGGGUAGCGCCGGGCGUGUCGGGGGGAGGCGCGCGGCGUGUCCGGCGGUUCGCGGGUCAGCGGGUGCGUGUCGGUCUCUCGGGGCCGGCCCCUCCCGCGCUCGCGUGUCCGGCGGCCGUCUCCGCGUCUCGUCCGGCGUCCGGCGUCCCUCCGGCUCUUCUCAACGGGACGGGCGGCGGGAAGCCGCACGAAGUCGGGGCAAGAACAGGUCCGUGAUGCCCUUAGAAGUCCUGGGCCGCACGCGCGCUACACUGACGGAGGCAACGCGCCACCAUGUUCGCCGCCCGGCCCGAGAGGGCCGGGGAACCGCUGAACCUCCGUUCGUGCUGGGGACUGGGGGCUGCGACGCCCCCACGAACGAGGAAUUCCUCGUAGGCGCGGGUCAUCAGCCCGCGUCGAUUACGUCCCUGUCCUUUGUACACACCGCCCGUCGCUACAUCCGAUCGAGCGAUCGAGCGAGGUUUUCGGACCGGGCCCGGCGCCGUCC
rnacentral:rRNA from 2 species